AGAAUCAACGCUGGCGGCGUGCCUAACACAUGCAAGUCGAACGCGAAAGGGGAGCAAUCCCUGAUUAGAGUGGCAAACGGGUGAGUAACACGUGGGCGACCUGCCUUCGAGUGGGGGAUAACCUUCCGAAAGGAGGGCUAAUACCGCAUGAUAUGCCGUGUUUGGAUACAUGGACAUCAAAGCCGGGGAUCGUAAGACCUGGCGCUUGAAGAGGGGCCCGCGUCCGAUUAGCUAGUUGGUGAGGUAACGGCUCACCAAGGCUCCGAUCGGUA
rnacentral:rRNA from 1 species